ACUUAGCUGAUGAGUCCCAAAUGGGACGGAACAAGCGUCCUAAAA
rnacentral:hammerhead_ribozyme from 1 species